AGCAGCCGCCGCGGGAAUACGGAGGGGGCUAGCGUUGUUCGGAAUUACUGGGCGUAAAGCGUGCGCAGGCGGUUAUAUAAGACAGAUGUGAAAUCCCCGGGCUCAACCUGGGACCUGCAUUUGUGACUGUAUAGCUAGAGUACGGUAGAGGGGGAUGGAAUUCCGCGUGUAGCAGUGAAAUGCGUAGAUAUGCGGAGGAACACCGAUGGCGAAGGCAAUCCCCUGGACCUGUACUGACGCUCAUGCACGAAAGCGUGGUGAGCAAACAGGAUUAGAUACCCGUGUAGUCCCUGUCUCUUAUAC
rnacentral:rRNA from 1 species